rnacentral:misc_RNA from 1 species
GUCGUAACAAGGUUUCCGUAGGUGAACCUGCGGAAGGAUCAUUACCACACCUAAAAACUCUCCACGUGAACUGUUCGUAUAAGAUUAGCGCCGAGAUUUUCGUGCGUGUUUGUGGUAUCGCUAUGUAUUCGUACGUGGCGUUAGCAAGCAUUGUAUGGAGCUUGGCUGAUCGAAGGUCGGUGUGCACCUUGUGUGUGUAUCGGCUGAUUAACCUUUCAAACCCUUUAAAUUAAUACUGAUUAUACUGUAAGGACGAAAGUCUUUGCUUUUAUCUAGAUAACAACUUUCAGCAGUGGAUGUCUAGGCUC